UACGUAGGGUGCAAGCGUUGUCCGGAAUUAUUGGGCGUAAAGAGCUCGUAGGCGGCCCUGUCACGUCGACUGUGAAAACCCAGGGCUCAACCCUGGCCUGCAGUCGAUACGGGCAGGCUAGAGUGUGGUAGGGGAGACUGGAAUUCCUGGUGUAGCGGUGAAAUGCGCAGAUAUCAGGAGGAACACCCGGUGGCGAAGGCGGGUCUCUGGGCCAUAACUGACGCUGGAGGAGCGAAAGCGUGGGGAGCGAACAGG
rnacentral:rRNA from 1 species